AUGCGCAGUGAGUUACAGACCAGCAUAGGCGUAAAACCCGGCGCUUGGUUUUGCGGGGUUCCUCAUCCAGCCCACGGAACAAGAAUUACCCUGUGCCUGAGUGCAUCUGAGGGAUUUGAAGCUCGUGAGCUUGAAGGGAAAGUGGUGGCUGGCCCUCUCCAAAUGGUCCCUGUGCAUCUGGACCACACAGAGGACUCAGAUUCAAGUUGGAUGCAGCAGAAAGAACACUGGUCUGAGAGAUCAGAGACGCAAUCCCAGAACUUCUACAUACUCACUAACGCUGGACCAAAGACAACCACCUUCUUCUUCCGAAGCCCAGGUGCCCUGUCUGUACGUGAACAAGCUGGGAUUCUCCACCCUGUCUCUCCUACCCCCAUGCAGGAGUGAAAUGAAGACCAAACCAUAAUUGGCAAUUAAGAACCUCGGAUUCUAUUAUAGAACCCUUGUUGCAAAAUUCAUCUGCACAGGAACUUCUCAAGAAAAGCACACAUCCAGAUCGCUGUGAGCACAGACUUCUCCUUCCCACAGACCUGAAAAUGUCAAAACGACAAUGAGACUGUGAGCUCUGCCCCACGGAUCAUCUGUCCCGGGAUUAUCUGUAUCUGGCUGCUUCACUGCUUCUCAUUCAGAAGACCCGGGAGGAGUGAAGACAUUGGGUCCGUGGAUAUUGCGGUGUAUUUCAUAUAUCAGCACUACACAGCAAAGCUUGUAGGACACUUACCUGUAGAUACAUUCAGUUUCUGCUACACAAACUUCUCCUCUGAGGGCCUUUUUUUAAGGCUAUGAAUUCCCCUAUUUCUACAUCUAGCUUGGAAAUUGACUAAUGAGAAAGAUACAUGGAAAGUUGAUAUGAUAAAUAUAUGUUCAAUAUGAUUAACCAGCAAAAUUCAAAUUAGAAUAAUGAUUAUCAGUUUUAACUAUGGAUGGGCACAAAAAAAUUUUUUAACGGUAAUAACCAGCUUGGGUAAUGAUCUAGGAAGUUGGAAACUCACUAUCUCUGGGGUUAACAAUUUGGAAAUAUGUGCCAAGAGCUAUAAUAUGGGUAUGCCUUUGAACUAGUGAUUCCAUUUUGUGAAAUUAAAAAUAAGAAAGUAAUUAAGGAUAGGGACAUGGAUUUGAAUAAAUGUUUUA
rnacentral:lncRNA from 1 species